rnacentral:tRNA from 1 species
GACGCUAUAGCCAAGUGGUUAAGGCGACAGAUUAGAAUCACUUACUAUCUGUUUCCCUCUGGGAGCGUAGGUUCGAACCCUACUGGUGUCG